UCAGACGAUAUAACAAAACUAUCAAAAAGUUAGAUUGUCAGUUGUCACAAAAUUUUUUGGCGGGUAUCUCAUUCAUAUGUUGAUUGUUGUUGUUUUCAACUGAAUAAACCGACAUCAUGAAUCUGUGUUGUGGGAUUGAACCAGACCACUGUGAUGGGAUUAGAAAAUUUAAAUUAGAAGACGAUUUCAUAUUUUCUAUGGGUCGCACCUUAAACGGUAACUAAAAGCAACUUGAUAUACCUUGCUGGAAUGUAGCCUAUGCCAAUUUAGAGAAUAAACAAGCAAGAAGUGAAGAGACUUGUAUAGUAUUUAAAAAAGUGUGUGUUUACUGUGGAUGCUCCCUUCAAAGCAAAAAAGCUAAUCCUCAUAAAGUUAAUAAUUACACUGCACAUGACCACAGAAUACAAGAAGUUAUAAAAUAAUGGAUAUCACCUCACAGGCUUUAGGUGGUGUUGCAGAAGGGCUGGCUGUAACAUCAUUAGGUCUCCUUUAAAGGGAGUUUUUGAGUGCAGCAAAGAUUAGAUUUUGACGAAGCAAAGAUAUGUAACUACUGGUUGGUGCGAAUCCAGAACACAAUCUCAAAA